UACGUAGGGUGCGAGCGUUAAUCGGAAUUACUGGGCGUAAAGCGUGCGCAGGCGGUUCGUUGUGUCGGCGGUGAAAGCCCCGGGCUUAACCUGGGAAUGGCCGUUGAAACUGGCGAACUGGAGUGUGGCAGAGGGGGGUGGAAUUCCGCGUGUAGCAGUGAAAUGCGUAGAGAUGCGGAGGAACACCGAUGGCGAAGGCAGCCCCCUGGGCUAACACUGACGCCCAGGCACGAAAGCGUGGGGAGCAAACAGG
rnacentral:rRNA from 1 species